ACCCAGUGAGCCACCAAGGCAGGGGCCCUGUGUGAUACUUACAAGAGAAUAUCUCUCCCACCACCCUCAUUCUCCCUGCUUUAGAGAUCAUAUUGUGGGGACAGGAGACCUGGAGCUGAAGCACGUAUUUUGUGACCACUAGGCAAGAAGCCUGAAGGAAAAUUCCAAAAUAAUAGGAGGAAUCGGAAAGAGAAAACCACCAUUUGGGUCAUUGAGAUCAUACUUGGGCUGGCAAUCAAGCCUUAUUUUUAUUGGUAAUGAAUAUUCUCUGGCUUAAUGCAUGGUUACUGUGGUUUUCUAGUUCCUAGAACAGUGUCUGGCACAUGGAAGGAAAUCCAAAGUGUUUGUUGAUUCAAUAGCUUAAAUUUUGGUCAUUUUCAUGUCCCAAACAUCCAAUACGGUUCUUCAUAUGCAUUAGCUGAUGGAGAAGCUGAAACCUACAGGCUGUACAGAGGUAUCUCAGGUCAUACCUUUGGUUCAAAUAAAAUCCAGAACAGAAGAACUGGAAAGACUGCAGGUGCAGUGACCGGAAGUUCUCUACAGUUGCUAAGAAGACUCUAAGGAUAUUGAAAGUUAAGUAGGGCCACACCUCAGGAGCCACAUGAAAGAUUGGCUGAACUCCAAAAUGAAGAAGAAAAAUACAUAAUGAAUCAUUUUCAGUCUCUACUGGCAUCUUCACCACAAAUCUAGUAGACUAAUUAAACACUGUAUGGAUUACAUUAUAUUAAAAACAUAUAUGUAUAUGGAGAGAUUAUCUCAUAUAUGGCUUAUUUACCUAACCAUAGCCUAUUUGAAGACAACUUAUUUGACUUGAAGAUAAAGGUUGAGAACUGAAACUACCAACACUUACUCACAGUUUGGGCACUAAAGAAUUAAAAUGCCUAUUUUGCCCUCACUACCCACAGAUAACCUAACCAUCUACUUUACAGGACUUUACUAUUCCAUUGUCUUCACAGGUGUGACUUUCAAAAAACCCAUCAAUUCUUCAAUGGAAAACAUCAACACACAGUCUGCAUCCUAAGAUUCUUGGAAUGUCUUGCCUGAAAAAUCCUUGCCUGCUGUUUUUGACAACCCUGGACUAUUGUCUCUUAAUCUUUACCCAGUUCUCAUCAAGCUCCCCAGCGAACUAAAUCUCUGAUUCUCAAUUAAUGCUGAAUUCGUUCCCCCACAGAGACAUUACCAAAGCUUUGCAGAGGUUGUGUUCUUCGUUAAUAUGUAAGCAAUACACUUAACUUUGUCUUAUCCACAGGUUGUGUUUGGGGAUAUUUGAGGAGCCAGCAAGCAACAGAUCUUUUUUAGUUGUUUUGCAUGGA